ensembl:lncRNA
CUUGCAACUCCCUAACUGACUAAUCUAUCUGACUUCAUUUGAAUACUAAAUCUCCCAGUGAAUUGUGAGGACAUGAAGGAUGUAACUGCAUGUGAUGUUUAUAUUCAGAGACAGCUAAUAGGGGAACAGGGACUCCCUUGAGAAAAGUCCCUACAGAUGGAGGAGGGAGCAGGAGACCUCCACAGCGCUGCUGGAUCCCAGCAAGUGGAGGAUGUUGCAAUCAAAAGAAGCAGAAAAAUAAAUAAGGAACAAGGACCAGGCAAUUCGACCAGGAAGGCCAAAGGCAACGAGAGGAGGAGAAAGAAAAAUCAGAAAAGAGCAGAAAGAAAGAGCGUCUCAAGCGUAAAGUCAGAUGCAGAUGUUGAAAAUAAAGACACAGAAAAAGGUGGGAGUGAAGUCAUGGAGACCACAAGCAGCCAAACUGAGAGUGUGCCAGUAGAAGCACAACAUGAGGAUCCCCAAGCAGAAGACGACGUGCAAACUGUGGACGAACAACGCCACGAACCUGCUAAGAUGGUGCAAGCUCACACUCAAACGAGGAAACAUAAAGGCACAAACAAAUUUACACAAACUCCAGUUGUUUUUCAGAGCAACCAGGAAACGCAGACAGACUUCUCUGGUUCAAAAAAAGAAGACACAAAUGAUGAAAAGACUCAAUCUGAGACAAAGAACGCUGCUGAGGCGCAGCUAAAACAAGACGAAUGCCCCGACAAUGAGAGGGCGUCUUCAGAGUCUGCCAAGAAGCAAAACCCUGAGAAAGAGUCAAAGUCUAAAGAGGAGAACCCCUCGGCAGGAGCCUCAGGUGAUCCUGCAGGUGCCAAAACAAAGUCUUACGCCAAAGUUGUGUCUGGAGAGGGCGGGAGUCAGAAGCAGUCCGACGUGGAAGCUUCCAAAGCAGCAGAUAAAAACACAAAAACAGCCCAAAGCACGCGGUGAGACACGGUGAUAAUCACAGCCACAUCACAUACUGUGUUUGAAGCUGUGAUGUAAACGUGUGUUCUUCCCUCUCCACAGUGAUCGAAGCCCAGUGAGAUAUCCACCUGCUGCCCCCGUGUUCACCGUUCACAUCUAUGCUGUGCUGGACAAAAAGUUUAAAUUCAACCAAGAAUGUGACACACUUCUGCUUUGUUACGACGGAGGGCAAUUCACCCUUUAAGAUGACGCAUUUUGUGUGAGUAUUGAUUUGAUGAGCUGUAAUACAUAGAAUGUCUGCAACACAGAUCCGAAGUU